GACGAACGCUGGCGGCGUGCUUAACACAUGCAAGUCGAACGGAAAGGCCCUGCUUUUGUGGGGUGCUCGAGUGGCGAACGGGUGAGUAACACGUGAGUAACCUGCCCUUGACUUUGGGAUAACUUCAGGAAACUGGGGCUAAUACCGGAUAGGAGCUCCUGCUGCAUGGUGGGGGGUGGAAAGUUUCGGCGGUUGGGGAUGGACUCGCGGCUUAUCAGCUUGUUGGUGGGGUAGUGGCUUACCAAGGCUUUGACGGGUAGCCGGCCUGAGAGGGUGACCGGCCACAUUGGGACUGAGAUACGGCCCAGACUCCUACGGGAGGCAGCAGUGGGGAAUAUUGCACAAUGGGCGGAAGCCUGAUGCAGCAACGCCGCGUGCGGGAUGACGGCCUUCGGGUUGUAAACCGCUUUCGCCUGUGACGAAGCGUGAGUGACGGUAAUGGGUAAAGAAGCACCAGCUAACUACGUG
rnacentral:rRNA from 1 species